rnacentral:lncRNA from 1 species
AGGGGCGGAGCCAGACUUUCGACUCAGGGGGGUCCAAAAUUUUUUUUUUCAAAAAAAUAAUAAUUAAAUAAAAAAAAUUAAAAAAUAAAUAAUAAUAAUUAAUAUAAUUAUAAUGUUAUUUAAAUUAUAUAGCAAGUUAAAAAAAUAAACAUAAUUAUUUUUUUAAAAAAAGUCCAAUAUAACAAUUAGCAAGCAUAUUAAUAACCAAGCACAAGUUAUAUUGUAAAGUCAAUACCCAAAAUCAUCAUUUGCAAGCUCUACAGAAACGGGGCAGAAAACUAGAAAAGUCUCAAAUUAUAGCAUAUAUUUUCUUUAGAAAAGACAUACCUUACCAUUUAGCAACAUUACCUUUGUUCUGUCACAAUAUACAUAAUACAUCAUACCAUAAAUAUUGUUUGUAAAUGCAUUUGAAUUAUUAUUAUAGCAGAUGAGAUAAUUAACCACCACAUUAAUCGUCUAGCAUCACUAAACUAGUACGAUAAUUUAUUGUUUUAUUUUUUGGAAGGACACUGGAAUAAAUUUAUGUGAAUAACCGAUUAAUUAACCGAUUAAAUUAUAAUUAAUAUAUAUUUAUUAUAUAUACUCUCAUCCCAAUUCUCAUCUCAAAUAUGAAACUAUAUCAUUCUGAAUUCGCAU